GAUGAACGCUGGCGGCGUGCCUAAUACAUGCAAGUCGAGCGAACAGACGAGGAGCUUGCUCCUCUGACGUUAGCGACGGACGGGUGAGUACCACGUGGAUAACCGACCUAUACGACUGGGAUAACUUCGGGAAACCGGAGCUAAUACCGGAUAAUAUAUUGAACCGCAUGGUUCAAUAGUGAAAGACGGUUUUGCUGUCACUUAUAGAUGGAUCCGCGCCGCAUUAGCUAGUUGGUAAGGUAACGGCUUACCAAGGCAACGAUGCGUAGCCGACCUGAGAGGGGGAUGGCCCACACGGGAACGGAAACACGGUCCAGACUCCUAGGGGAGGCAGCAGUAGGGAAUCUUCGGCAAUGGGGGAAAGCUGGACGGAGAAAGGCGGCGUGAGGGAUGAAGGUCUUCGGAUCUUAAAACUCUGUUAUUAGGGAAGAACAAAUGGGUAAGUAAAUAUGCACGUCUUGACGGUACCUAAUCAGAAAGCCACGGCUAACUACGUG
rnacentral:rRNA from 1 species